UAGUUAUCUUGUUUGAUUUAUGGCUUCAUAAUGUAUAUAUAUAUAAAAUCUUGGGUUGCUUAAGUUGGGGGUACUAAAAAAAGUUUUAUUUUGACUUAAGUUUUUAGUCUAUUGAUUAUUUACAUGUAUAUUAUUGUUCUUAUAUAGGUGUUUUGCAGUAUUUAAUAUUAGAUAUUCAAUUAGUUGAGAUCUAGAAAUCAGUAAGAGUUUUAAUGAAACUUGUGCCAGCAAUUGCGGUUAUACAAGUAAGGCUAUUGAAAUUUUUUGGUUAAUAAUUAGUUGUUAAAUGUUUAGAUUGAUUAAUAAAUUUGAUGGGUGAAAUUUUAAAUUUAUUUAAGUUUUUAUAUUGUUUACGAAGUUGUUAAAGUUCAUUAUUAAACUAGGAUUAGAUACCCUAUUAUUUGAACUGUAAAUUUCCUAUACCUGAUUAUUAGUAGAAUAUUUUCUUGAAAAUUAAAAAAUUUGGCGGUAUUUUAGUCUGUUCAGAGGAACCUGUCCCGUAAUUGAUAGCCCACGAUUUACUUUACUUUCUUUUUUAGUUUGUAUAUCGUCGUGUUUGAAUAUUUCAUAAGAAUAAUAAUAUUCAAAUUGUUCUAUAAAAGCUGAUGUCAGAUCAAGGUGCAGCUUAUGAGAAAGAGGGAGAUGGGUUACUAUAAUAUUAUUUUUGGUUUGUAUAUGUUAAGUUGUUACACUAAAUUGGAUUUGAUAGUAAUAUUGUUUAGAUAUUCGAUGUGAUUUUGGCUCUAAAAUAUGCACAUAUUGCCCGUCGCUUUCAUUAAGGUGAAAUAAGUCGUAACAUAGUAGAUGUACUGGAAAGUGUAUCUAGAAAGA
rnacentral:ncRNA from 1 species